CAGAGUGAGCGGUGGGGCGUGAGGAGAAGAAGGAGAGUGGUUGAAGAAAAGAAGAAGAAGAGGGAAAAGAAGAGAGGAGGAAGAAGAGAGGAAGAAGAGGGAGAAGAGAAGAAGAAGAAGAAGAGGAGGUGGCUGCAGCGAGGGCUGCAGCGAGGGCUGCAGCGAGGAGCUGUGGGGCGUGGGGAGAAGAAGAGAGGAAGAAGAGGGAGAAGAGAAGAAGAAGAAGAAGAAGAAGAAGAAGAAGAGAGGAGGAUAGCUGCAGCAAGGCUGCAGCGAGGAGGUGUGUGGGGUUGGGGAGGAAAAGGGAAGAGGAGAAGAAAAGAAGGAGAAGAAGAGGGAAAAGAGAGGGAAGAAGGAGAGGAAGAUGAGCAGCGGAAGAGGUUGUGAUACCUCUGUUUCCUGCAGAGGAAACAGAGGAGAGGGUGUGUGUGACGUCGGGGAGAAGAAGGGGAGGAAGGAGAAGAAGAGAAGAAGAAGAAAGGAAGGAUAAGGAAGAAGAGAAGGGAAAGGAGGAGCUGCGGCUGCGGCGGUGGCAGCUGCAGCUGGAAGAGAAGGAGAGGAAGAGAUGGUGAGGAAGAAGAGAAGAAGUAGAAGCGGGUGAAGAGGCGGCACCUCUGUUUCCUGCAGGAGGAAACAGAGGAAAGGUGGUGCUAUACGUCGGGGGGAAGAAGGGGAGGAAGGAGAAGAAGAGAAGAAGAAGAAAGGAAGGAAAAGGAAGAGGAGAAGGGAAGGAAGUAGCUGCGGCUGCGGUUGUGGCAGCUGCAGCUGUGGCAGGGAAAGAAAAAGAGAAAGGAAGAAGGGAAGGAGAGGAAGAAGAGAAGGGGCUGCGGCUGCUGCAGUUGGAAGAGAAGAAGGAGAGGAAGAUGAGCAGGGGAGGAAGAAAAGGCUGUGGCCGUGGCUGAGGCUGCGACUGCAGCAUGCAGCUGGGAAAGAAGAGAAGGAAAGGAAGAAGAAGAGAAAGGAAGAAGGGAAGGAGAGGAAGAAGAGAAGGGGCUGCGGCUGCGGCGAUGGCAGCUGCAGUUGGAAGAGAAGAAGGAGAGGAAGAUGAGCAGGGGAGGAAGAAGAGGCUGCGAGUGUGGUGGCUGCGGCCGUGGCUGCGACUCCGGCUGCGGCUGCAACGUUGGCUGCGGUAGCUGCGGCAGCGGUGGUGGCUGCAGUAGCUGCAGUAGCUGCUUUUGGGAAAGAGAAAGAGUAGGAACGAGAGAAGGGAAGAAGGAAAUAGUGCAGUGGAAGGGGGCUGCGGUUGUGACCGCAGUUGCGGUCGUGGCUGCGAUUGUGGCAGCGGCAACGGCGACGGCUGUGGCAGCUGCAUUUGGGAAAGAAAAACAAGGAAUGAGAGUAAGAGAGAGCAGGUGACUGUGCCUCGAUGUUCGACACGUGAUGUAGUUACGAAGAAAGGAAGAAAACGGGAGCACAAAACGAAACAGAGAGAGCACACGGAGGAAAAGUAGAAAGAUUGGACUGGCACCUUCCUUGGAUAUUCAGAUCAAAAUAUUUGAAAGGUCAGCUUGUCACUCUUCGAGAUGUUUGAUUUGGGGCUGAGGCAGUGGAUAGCUAUUCAGAAUUAUGGGCAAGUCUUGUCGGUUAUUAUGCUAUUGUUGUAUAAGCAUGUUUUGUAUGUAAUGAAAUGUUGUCGAUGAAUCGAAAUGGAUAUACUGUGUAAAAGUGUUAGAAGAUCUCUCUUAUUUGGAAUUUCGGAAUGUUAAGUCUAAUUUAUGACGUUAUGAACUUGUGGUGAAUAGUUGGAGUUCUGAUUGUAUAAUUUAUUUAGCUUGUGGAUUUAUAAAUGUUGUUCAUGUUUGUCAA